GUCUAAGUAUAAGCACUCGUACUGUGAAACUGCGAAUGGCUCAUUAAAUCAGUUAUCGUUUAUUUGAUUGUACCUUUACUACUUGGAUAACCGUGGUAAUUCUAGAGCUAAUACAUGCGAAAAGUCCCGACUUCUGUAAUGAAAAGAAAUAAUAUAUAUAUAUAUAUGCAGUCAAACAACAGAAUUGCAUGAUAACCUUGAAUAUAUUGAAUAAAGGACUGCAAAAAAAAAUCUUUUGUACUAGUUGCUUGAAUUGACCCUGGG
rnacentral:ncRNA from 1 species